rnacentral:rRNA from 1 species
GGGUCAGUAGGUUGGUCGUGCCACCGGUACGUACUGGUCUCACUGAUUCCUCCUUCCUGAAGAACCGUAAUGCCAUUAAUUUGGUGUUGCGGGGAAACAGGACUGUUACCUUGAAAAAAUUAAAGUGUUUAAAGCAAGCUAACGCUUGAAUACAUUAGCAUGGAAUAAUGAAAUAGGACGAUCGAUCCUAUUUUGUUGGUUUCUAGGAUUGACGUA